CCUUUACUGUAGCUUUGUAUUGGACUUUGAACAGAUCUGUGUAGGAUAGGUGGGAGGCUUUGAAGUGAGGGUCGCUAGAUCUCAUGGAGCCAACGUUGAAAUACCACCCUGGUGUGUUUGAGGUUCUAACCUAGGUCCAUUAUCUGGAUCGGGGACAGUGCAUGGUAGGCAGUUUGACUGGGGCGGUCUCCUCCCAAAGCGUAACGGAGGAGUUCGAAGGUACGCUAGGUACGGUCGGACAUCGUGACGAUAGUGCAAUGGCAUAAGCGUGCUUAACUGCGAGACUGACAAGUCGAGCAGAUGCGAAAGCAGGACAUAGUGAUCCGGUGGUUCUGUAUGGAAGGGCCAUCGCUCAACGGAUAAAAGGUA
rnacentral:rRNA from 1 species